AUUGAGCGCUGGCGGCAGGCCUAACACAUGCAAGUCGAACGGUAACAGGAAACAGCUUGCUGUUUCGCUGACGAGUGGCGGACGGGUGAGUAAUGUCUGGGAAACUGCCUGAUGGAGGGGGAUAACUACUGGAAACGGUAGCUAAUACCGCAUAACGUCGCAAGACCAAAGAGGGGGACCUUCGGGCCUCUUGCCAUCAGAUGUGCCCAGAUGGGAUUAGCUAGUAGGUGGGGUAACGGCUCACCUAGGCGACGAUCCCUAGCUGGUCUGAGAGGAUGACCAGCCACACUGGAACUGAGACACGGUCCAGACUCCUACGGGAGGCAGCAGUGGGGAAUAUUGCACAAUGGGCGCAAGCCUGAUGCAGCCAUGCCGCGUGUAUGAAGAAGGCCUUCGGGUUGUAAAGUACUUUCAGCGGGGAGGAAGGGAGUAAAGUUAAUACCUUUGCUCAUUGACGUUACCCGCAGAAGAAGCACCGGCUAACUCCGUG
rnacentral:rRNA from 1 species